UGCGUAGGCGGACUAAUAAGUCAGUGGUGAAAUCUUUCGGCUCAACCGAGAAACUGCCAUUGAUACUGUUAGUCUUGAGUUCGGUUGAGGUAGGCGGAAUGUGUAAUGUAGCGGUGAAAUGCUUAGAUAUUACACAGAAUACCAAUUGCGUAGGCAGCUUACUAGACCGAAACUGACGCUGAGGCACGAAAGCGUGGGUAGCGAACAGGAUUAGAUACCCUGGUAGUCC
rnacentral:rRNA from 1 species